rnacentral:lncRNA from 1 species
CUUGCUCGAAUCUCUUACUGACCUGCAACCCCUGCAAUGAAUUGCAAAUAUGGUAAGGGCUACCGGUAUCCAAUACCCAGUCAGUUAUAUCACAAAUAGAGAAAUUGAAAGGAGUUAUCAUAUAAAUACCUUGCUCAGCAACAACUUGCUGCUUUCUUUGCCUGUUUGGGUCCAGAGAGGUAAUGUACUGGGGAUAGUUCCUCUUCCAGUGCCCCCGCUUCUUACAAAAGAAGCAUUCAGCUUGAUCUUUAUCGAGCUUGAUCUUUUUGGUCUGGUCCUACACUGAUGUCCCAGCCUGAAUUUGCACCUUUUUCACUUUCUUCUUCUUGUUCUUCUUCCCCUUUUUAGAGGGUCGAGAACCAGAAGAUGAACAUCCCACUAAGUUCACCGACUCCUUGUGGAGUUGAUGAUCCUUCUCAAAGUUCUGAAGCAACCCCAGUAACCCAUGGUAGUUCACUUCAGUCUUUGUCAUUCUAUAAUGAGUGAGGAAUGGGAGAUAAGACUUGGGCAGCGAGUUUAGUAUUGCAUCUUUCCUAAGCUGCUCAUGCAAGGGAAAGCCGAGCUUGCUCAAUCAUUCCAUCAGCUCAAUCAUGUACAAUACAUGAUCAGUGACAGAGGCACCAUCCCGCAUUUUGGCAUUGAAGAUGGCACAACUAGUCUUGUGCCUCUCCACAUCAUCGGGUGUGCCAAAGGCAUCCUCCAACACUUGAAGCAUGUCCUUUGGCUGAGCCGUCUUGAAUCUGUGAUUGAACUCGUCACUCAUGGUAGCC